rfam:Myotis davidii contig78678, whole genome shotgun sequence.
GGCGGUUCUCGGGUGACACACCCUGGAAUCGGGCUCCCUCCUCCCUAGUUCCGGGUGCGUCACCUGAGAACCACA